UUUAUUCAGCACUACUCUAUAGGUUGAGUACCUGUUUUAUACUAGGCACUGUUCCAGGCAUUGAAUACAGCAGAAAUAACACUGACAAAAGUUCCCAUCCUCAUGGAUCCUAGUGAGCAGAGCCAUUUCACACAAGGUGAUCGGGGAAGGUUUCACUGAGAUGAUGACUUGAAUGGAGACCUGAGGAAGUGUGCAGGAUGACAGAAUUCGAGUCGAAAGGAUGGAUAACAUUUAUUUUGAAUACAGCCAUGCUUUCCAGGCAGUUACAGAGUUUUAUGCAAAAGAUACAGUUGACAUCAAAGGUUCUCAAAUUAUUUCUGGCAUUGUUAACUUAAAGAAGCCUGUGAUUUGCUCUUUGGCUGCCAUCAUAAAAUACCUCAAAGAAUUCAACUUGGAAAAGAUGCUCUCCAAACCUGAGAAUUUUAAACAGCUAUCAAGUAAAAUGGAAUUUAUGACAAUUAAUGGAACAACAUUAAGGAAUCUGGAAAUCCUACAGAAUCAGACUGAUAUGAAAACCAAAGGAAGUUUGCUGUGGGUUUUAGACCACACUAAAACUUCAUUUGGGAGACGGAAGUUAAAGAAGUGGGUGACCCAGCCACUCCUUAAAUUAAGGGAAAUAAAUGCCCGGCUUGAUGCUGUAUCGGAAGUUCUCCAUUCAGAAUCUAGUGUGUUUGGUC
rnacentral:sRNA from 1 species